AUGAGAUGCACAGGGGUAUUCAUUCCAUCCCGCUGCUGGGAAGCCCCUGUGGAAAGGAAUCUGGCUGCCUGUGCGGCCUGGAUCCCAGAAAUCCAAAAAGAACGUCCCCUGAGGCCACAGCUUGCUCCUCCAUGUGACCAGCCCCUGGGCUGGUGGCCACCGUGGACGCGCCCGGCGCCCCUCUCCCGGCUCCCUUCGGGUUCCGCGGAGCCCGCGGCGCGCGGCCCGACCAGGUGCACCCGGCACGGCCCUGCCAACAGCGCGCGCCUCCAGCCGCCGGGCACAGGCGGCCACGCAGGCGAGAUUUACGGUGGCGCUGGGCGGCGGCUUCCGGGGCCGGUCGGCGCCCAGGCUCCGAUUACAGGUUCACACCGGGGGCCCGGCCCGCGGCCGCCCAGCCCCCGCCGGCGCGCCCUCGCGCGGCCCGGCUCCCCGCCCGCCUAUUCUUCUCCAUUCAUGCGGACGCCCAGCGCCGCCGCCGCCGCCGCCGCCGCCAGCGCGGCCGCCGUCGCCGUCGCCGGCCGCCCCGAUUGGCUGGCGGCCGCGGCGCCAGCACUUUCCCACGGCCCGCGGCGCGUGCGGCUCACCGGAGGCGCUGCAGGCGCGGCCCUGGCGCGCGGCCAGGCCAAUCGCGGCGCGCGGGGCGGGGAGGGGCCGCGGCCGCCGGCGGGCUUGUGUCCUGGCCCGGCCUCCCGCGCCUCCCCGCCGCCCGCGCCUCCUCCUUCCCCAGAGUGCAAGCCCGGCGGAGCCCCUGCGGAGCCGACGCACAGCCGCCGGGCAGGGGUGGGCGCGGAGGGCGGGGGCGCGGUCCGCUCGCGCCCUCCGCCUCUCUCCCGCCCCAUUCCCGGAGCGGCUGUCAAUCAGCGGCGCGAGAAGCCGGAUUGGCCGGGGGGCGGUUGUUGCCCUGGAGCUGCCGCCCCGCCUUCCCGCCCCCUCGCCCGCCUUCCCCACUCCCUCGCCCUCCCCAGGGCCCUGGGAAGGGGUUUAGCGUGGGAAAGGAUGGUUGAGUUUUAA
rnacentral:lncRNA from 13 species